CCUACGGGUGGCAGCAGUAGGGAAUCUUCCACAAUGGGCGAAAGCCUGAUGGAGCAACGCCGCGUGUGUGAAUAAGGUCUUCGGAUCGUAAAACUCUGUCGUUAGAGAAUAAAGUGCGCUAGAGUAACUGUUCACGUUUCGACGGUAUCUCCCCAGAAAGCAACGGCUAACUACGUGCCAGCAGCCGCGGUAAUACGUAGGUGGCAAGCGUUAUUCGGAGUUAUUGGGCGUAAAGCGAACGCAGGCGGUCUUUUAAGUCUUAUGUGAAAUCCCUCGGCUUAACCGGAGUACUGCCUUGGAAACUGGGAGACUGGAGGGUAGAAGAGGAGAGUGGAAGUCCAUGUGUAGCGGUGAAAUGCGUAGAUAUAUGGAAGAACACCAGUGGCGAAAGCGACUAUCUGGUAUGUAACUGACGCUGAGGUUCGAAAGCGUGGGUAGCAAACAGGAUUAGAUACCCCAGUAGUC
rnacentral:rRNA from 1 species